rnacentral:sRNA from 1 species
UGUAUCUGAAGUCUGACGAGGAUGAGAACCUCCGGGGGCAAGAGGUUCGACCCGAGCGAAGCGAGAGAACGUUGCGUCAGCAACGGCCCGCAGGGCGAGCCACGCAGUGGCGAGUCAUCCUCUAUCA